GACGAACGCUGGCGGCGUGCUUAACACAUGCAAGUCGAACGGAAAGGCCCUGCUUUUAUGGGUUGCUCGAUUGGCGAACGGGUGAGUAACACGUGAGUAACCUGUCCUUGACUUUGGGAUAACUUUAGGAAACUGGGGCUAAUACCGGAUAGGAUCUCCUGCUGCAUGGUGGGGGUUGGAAAGUUUCGGCGGUUGGGGAUGGACUCGCGGCUUACCAGCUUGUUGGUGAGGUAGUGGCGUACCAAGGUUUUGACGGGUAGCCGGCCUGGGAGGGUGACCGGCCACAUUGGGACUGGGAUGCGGCCCAGACUCCUUCGGGAGGAAGGAGUGGAGACUAUUGCACAAUGGGCGGAAGCAUGAUGCAGCAACGCCGCGUGCGGGAUGACGGCCUUCGGGUUGUAAACCACUUUCGCCUGUGACGAAGCGUGAGUGACGGUAAUGGGUAAAGAAGCACCGGCUACCUACGU
rnacentral:rRNA from 1 species